GGCAACAGCUCAAAUUUGAAAUCUGGCUCUUUCAGGGUCCGAGUUGUAAUUUGUAGAGGAUGUUUCGGGUGUGGCUCCGGUCUAAGUUCCUUGGAACAGGACGUCAUAGAGGGUGAGAAUCCCGUAUGUGACUGGAAGCCUUCGUCCAUGUGAAACUCCUUCGACGAGUCGAGUUGUUUGGGAAUGCAGCUCAAAAUGGGUGGUAAAUUUCAUCUAAAGCUAAAUACUGGCCAGAGACCGAUAGCGCACAAGUAGAGUGAUCGAAAGAUGAAAAGCACUUUGGAAAGAGAGUUAAAAAGUACGUGAAAUUGUUGAAAGGGAAGCGCUUGCAACCAGACUUGCUCGCGGUUGCUCAGCCGGUGUUCUCACCGGUGCACUCUUCCGCGAUCAGGCCAGCAUCGGUUUGGGCGGCUGGAUAAAGGCUCUGGGAAUGUGGCUCCUCUCGGGGAGUGUUAUAGCCCAGGGUGCAAUGCAGCCCGCCCGGAUCGAGGACCGCGCUUCGGCUAGGAUGCUGGCGUAAUGGUUGUAAGCGACCCGUCUUGAAACACGGACCAAGGAGUCUAACAUCUAUGCGAGUGUUUGGGUGUCAAACCCAUGCGCGUAAUGAAAGUGAACGGAGGUGGGAACCCUUAAGGGUGCACCAUCGACCGAUCCUGAUGUCUUCGGAUGGAUUUGAGUAAGAGCAUAGCUGUUGGGACCCGAAAGAUGGUGAACUAUGCCUGAAUAGGGUGAAGCCAGAGGAAACUCUGGUGGAGGCUCGCAGCGGUUCUGACGUGCAAAUCGAUCGUCAAAUUUGGGUAUAGGGGCGAAAGACUAAUCGAACCCAUCUAGUAGCUGGUUCCUGCC
rnacentral:rRNA from 1 species